AACGCAAAUGGCGCUCUUGGGUAGCCCUAGGAGCACACCUCUCUCAGUAUCGGUUCAACAACCGCUCAGCAGCAUGCUUGAUGUAAGUCAAGUGCGUGUGGCUGGAAAAUGAGAGUCCGAGUGCUAGUCAUUCGGUCUCUUUAAAUACAUCGAGUUUGCACACGACUCUCCGGUCAAUGGUAUCUUUAUUGAUGCCUAGGCGGUGUCGGACUGUUUCUCACUAGUGACGUGAAUACUGACCUCCGGGUCUCCCGUUUACGUGUAACUGGCCGAGGGAUAUUUAGGUCCGGGAUAGCUGAACGACCGAAUCGGAGUAGUGCAGACGUGCCCCCCCAUAUGAUUGUGCAGCUCUGCUGUAUAGUCUGAAUUUUGAUCUGAGAUGAAGUGAGACAACCCCCUGAAUUUAA
rnacentral:misc_RNA from 1 species